AUCAGCAAUUGUUCAUAAAUUCCAGCCAUCAUCUUCCACCUUCUUCAACCUCCAAACCCUUCCCCAUGUAAGUCAACUUCCAAGCUUCAUAACUCACUCAUUCCUUAAUCAAAUUUAGUGAUCUUGGUGUCUAUGGAAAGAGGAGAGGAAGACCUACUGAUCUAAAGCUUCAAUUUAAGAUUCUUCGUUAGACAUCGGAAUUGAAUGAUUUUUGCGGCAACGGAAAGAGGAGAACCAUACCUACUGAUUGAGCCCAAUAAAUCAAGACAAACCGAGAGGCGAAGGGAUCGACGGUUUUGGCCUAGGAGUAUUCGGCCAAGACUAAUGCGUAUAAACAAUUUGGAUUGGAAAGCAAGGAGUACCUAGACUUGGAGUGACUAGAAGUCCAUUGUUUUGCCGGGAGUCUGUCUUGCCAUAUAUAGUCCGACUUCCGUGAUCGCUGCAGUAGUACAUUGUGUGACCAGUCAUGACCUAUGAUUUAUAGUGUUGGAAAAUAUUUAUAACUGCUGUUGUGUAUAACAUGAAUAUUGUAAGGAUGUUAGGUUUAUGCAGUCAGUGUUUAUAAAAUGACUAUCAAUGUUUUCAUAAUUAAAUGCUUCCGUGUUAUAACAUAAUUGCGAAAAAUUUAUAGUGAAUUUCAGGCUUGCUACGGGAUUCGGAACUAUAAUUCCCAUUCCCUAGCGCCGGUC